rnacentral:rRNA from 1 species
UUGGUCAAUGGGGGAAACCCUGAACCAGCAACGCCGCGUGAGGGAUGACGGCCUUCGGGUUGUAAACCUCUGUCCUCUGUGAAGAUAAUGACGGUAGCAGAGGAGGAAGCUCCGGCUAACUACGUGCCAGCAGCCGCGGUAAUACGUAGGGAGCGAGCGUUAUCCGGAUUCAUUGGGCGUAAAGAGCGCGUAGGCGGCCUCUCAAGCGGGAUCUCUAAUCCGAGGGCUCAACCCCCGGCCGGAUCCCGAACUGGGAGGCUCGAGUUCGGUAGAGGCAGGCGGAAUUCCCGGUGUAGCGGUGGAAUGCGCAGAUAUCGGGAAGAACACCGAUGGCGAAGGCAGCCUGCUGGGCCGCAACUGACGCUGAGGCGCGAAAGCUAGGGGAGCG